rnacentral:rRNA from 1 species
GAGUUUGAUCCUGGCUCAGAACGAACGCUGGCGGCAGGCUUAACACAUGCAAGUCGAACGCCCCGCAAGGGGAGUGGCGCACGGGUGAGUAACGCGUGGGAAUGUACCGUUUAGUACAGAAUAGCCCCGGGAAACUGGGAGUAAUACUGUAUACGCUCUUCGGAGGAAAGAUUUAUCGCUAAACGAUCAGCCCGCGUGAGAUUAGGUAGUUGGUGGGGUAAUGGCCUACCAAGCCUACGAUCUCUAGCUGGUCUGAGAGGAUGAUCAGCCACACUGGAACUGAGACACGGUCCAGACUCCUACGGGAGGCAGCAGUGGGGAAUAUUGGACAAUGGGGGCAACCCUGAUCCAGCCAUGCCGCGUGAGUGAUGAAGGCCUUAGGGUUGUAAAGCUCUUUUAACGGUGAAGAUAAUGACGGUAACCGUAGAAAAAGCCCCGGCUAACUUCGUGCCAGCAGCCGCAGUAAG